GCCCCACCUGCCAGGGGCGGCGCGGGUAGCUGUAUGGGAGUAGAGGGGCAGAGGAGUGUGGUCUGAGCGAGCGAGUGUGUGCGCGCGUGCGCGAGUGCGAGGCGGGGAGAAGGAGGUUGUCAUGGAGACCUGGGCCAGACUCUCUGGCUGCUGCAUCAGUUUCCGUGGCAACACCUAAGAAGGCCUUGGAUUGAUGAGGGCCUGGCUAGGAAACUGUAUCCACAAAAGGCCACUCAGGCCCCAGGCAUUCCAGUGGCUGCCCCAACAGGCUGGAGACACUCACCACAAGUCUACGUAUGACCAGGGGACCCAGAGACCAACACCAGGACUUGACCUUGAGACACCUGCACUCCCACCACCUGGUUCUCCCAGCUCUCUGGGCUGAGCUUGGCUGCCCAGAAGGAAUUGAGAUGGGAACUGAGACUGGAAAACCCCUUGGACACCCUGUGCUUCAAAUCCCAGCUCUGCCCCUUGCUAGCUGUUUCACUUCUGUCGGUUUAUACUGGCUGAGCCUGUUUCCCCCCAUGUAAAACAGGGAUAAUGUCUUCCCGGCGGUUGUUAUGACACAUAAAUGACAUGAAAUGCUA